UACGUAGGGUGCAAGCGUUACUCGGAAUUACUGGGCGUAAAGCGUGCGCAGGCGGUUUGGUAAGACAGAUGUGAAAUCCCCGGGCUUAACCUGGGAACUGCAUUUGUGACUGCAUGGCUAGAGUGCGGCAGAGGGGGAUGGAAUUCCGCGUGUAGCAGUGAAAUGCGUAGAUAUGCGGAGGAACACCGAUGGCGAAGGCAAUCCCCUGGGCCUGCACUGACGCUCAUGCACGAAAGCGUGGGGAGCAAACAGG
rnacentral:rRNA from 1 species